UGCCCCACUGCAGACAAUAACCACAAUGGAGCUGUUUCAGAAUAUUAAGAUCCUCUCUUUACCCUCCCACCCACCAAAAAAAGAAUGUAUUUCUCAUGGCAUUGGUGAAAGAAGUGUCUCUGGAUUUCCUUAGGGGACAUAGUUAGAAGUUUAUUUUCAGCCAUCAAGACCAGAAAUACACUCAGGGUUCUAUCAACCUUCCAAACCUAUGUCAUAUUCGAGUCAACAAGGAACUUGAUCAUCUCUCCAUUCCAUAAGAAGCUACAUUUGUCUUUUUCAAUGCUCCACCCCUGUGGGAGUUGUUCUUGGUAUGACGGGACUUGGGUACUUUGGAACUCAAACUGACCAAGACAUGAGAUCCACUGAAGGCCUGCUGACUUCCAAUAAGAGGCUUAUGGAGAAUCGCGAGGCAGGGAACAAAGAGAUGGGUAUAAAACUACAUUUGGCCUAGAACAUUGAAAGGUAACUACUUCCUCUCUGGGAUGUGGUCUCAUGGAGAAGGAACUCAACUGGAGGCCCCAAGGCAGGAGAAUUAGAAGCAGAAAUUUGUCCCCACGAGACAGUCCCAUGAUACUCGAUCAACAAAGUUUCCAUCUUCUUUAUGAAAGGGGCAAAAAGAGAGAGAGAAGACAGAAAUGGAAGUUCUGGGUGACAUGAAGAAAAG